AUACGGAGGGUGCAAGCGUUACUCGGAAUCACUGGGCAUAAAGCGCGCGCAGGCGGCUAUUUAAGUUGGAUGUGAAAGCCUACGGCUCAACCGUAGAACUGCAUCCAAAACUAUUUAGCUAGAGUGUGGGAGAGGAAGAUGGAAUUAGUUGUGUAGGGGUAAAAUCCGUAGAGAUAACUAGGAAUACCAAAAGCGAAGGCAAUCUUCUGGAACACUACUGACGCUGAGGCGCGAAAGCGUGGGGAGCAAACGGGAUUAGAAACCCUAGUAGUCC
rnacentral:rRNA from 1 species